GCCUGACACAGUGGUGUGCACCUAUAGUCCCAGCUACUCAGGAGGCUGAGACAGGACGAUUACUUUAGUUCAGGAGUUCUGGGCUGUAGUGUGCUGUGAGGAUCGGGUGUCCUCACUAAGUUCAGCAUCAGUAUGGUGACCUCCUGGGAGCUGGGGGCCACCAGGUUGCCUAAGGAGGGGUGAAUCGGCCCAGGUCAAAAAUGGAGCAGGUCAAAACUCCUGUGUUGAUCAGUAGUGGGAAUGCACCUGUGAAUAGUCACUGCACUUCAGCCUGGGCACCAUAGCAAAACCCCAUCUCUA
rfam:Otolemur garnettii contig044996, whole genome shotgun sequence.